rnacentral:rRNA from 1 species
GAUGAACGCUGGCGGCGUGCCUAAUACAUGCAAGUCGAGCGAAUGGAUUAAGAGCUUGCCCUUAUGAAGUUAGCGGCGGACGGGUGAGUAACACGUGGGUAACCUGCCCAUAAGACUGGGAUAACUCCGGGAAACCGGGGCUAAUACCGGAUAACAUUUUGAACCGCAUGGUUCGUAAUUGAAAGUCGGCUUCGGCUGUCACUUAUGGAUGGACCCGCGUUGAAUUAGCUAGUUGGUGAGGUAACGGCUCACCAAGGCAACGAUGAGUAGCCAACAUGGGCGGGUGAUCGGCCACACUGGGACUGAGACACGGCCCAGACUCCUACGGGAGGCAGCAGUAGGGAAUCUUCCGCAAUGGACGAAAGUCUGACGGAGCAACGCCGCGGGAGUGAUGAAGGCUUUCGGGUCGUAAAACUCUGUUGUUAGGGAAGAACAAGUGCUAGUUGAAUAAGCUGGCACCUUGACGGUACCUAACCAGAAAGCCACGGCUAACUACGUGCCAGCCGCCGCAGUAA